rnacentral:rRNA from 1 species
AGCGAACGCUGGCGGCAGGCUUAACACAUGCAAGUCGAGCGGGCACUUUCGGGUGUCAGCGGCGGACGGGUGAGUAACGCGUGGGAACGUGCCCUCUGGUUCGGAAUAACUCAGGGAAACUUGAGCUAAUACCGGAUACGCCCUUUUGGGGAAAGGCUUGCUGCCGGAGGAUCGGCCCGCGGCUGAUUAGCUAGUUGGUGAGGUAACGGCUCACCAAGGCGACGAUCAGUAGCUGGUAUGAGAGGAUGAUCAGCCACACUGGGACUGAGACACGGCCCAGACUCCGGCGGGAGGCAGCAGUGGGGAAUAUUGGACAAUGGGCGCAAGCCGGAUCCAGCCAUGCCGCGUGAGUGAUCAAGGCCUUAGGGUUGUAAAGCUCUUUUAUCCGGGACGAUAAGGACGGUACCGGAGGAAUAAGCCCCGGCUAACUUCGU